rnacentral:rRNA from 1 species
UUAGUGGAAGCGUCUGGAAAGGCGCGCGAUACAGGGUGACAGCCCCGUACACAAAAGCGCAUGUGCUGUGAGCUCGAUGAGUAGGGCGGGACACGUGGUAUCCUGUCUGAAUAUGGGGGGACCAUCCUCCAAGGCUAAAUACUCCUGACUGACCGAUAGUGAACCAGUACCGUGAGGGAAAGGCGAAAAGAACCCCGGCGAGGGGAGUGAAAAAGAACCUGAAACCGUGUACGUACAAGCAGUGGGAGCACCCUUUGGGGUGUGACUGCGUACCUUUUGUAUAAUGGGUCAGCGACUUAUAUUCUGUAGCAAGGUUAACCGAAUAGGGGAGCCGGAGGGAAACCGAGUCUUAACCGGGCGUUAAGUUGCAGGGUAUAGACCCGAAACCCGGUGAUCUAGCCAUGGGCAGGUUGAAGGUUGGGUAACACUAACUGGAGGACCGAACCGACUAAUGUUGAAAAAUUAGCGGAUGACCUGUGGCUGGGGGUGAAAGGCCAAUCAAACCGGGAGAUAGCUGGUUCUCCCCGAAAGCUAUUUAGGUAGCGCCUCGUGAAUUCAUCUCCGGGGGUAGAGCACUGUUUCGGCUAGGGGGCCAUCCCGGCUU